ACAUUAGCAGAUUUGAACAGAUUGAAAGCGUCGAUCCUCACCGAACAACACAAAAUAGAACGCUAAUAGCUAGCUGAGCCCUGGAGUCCCAUGGCCCAUUCGAAGACCCGUUCUCCGCUCCACGGGAUCAACAUUGCUUAUAUACAUGUCACGUGGCUAUCGCCAUUUGUCAUAAAUUGAUGAAAUUCUUAGCUCCCCCAGAUAGACCUAGCUCCCGACAAACUUCUAAUCUGCUAUCCUCUUGCAUCUAGGCAUUCUCUUCCUUGCUGUCCUCCUUUUCCUCAUGUAUUUUCUCCAUUCUUAGAGCGCGUACGGCGACUCCAUAAGCGGGACCGCCGAGUGAUUUUGUAAACACAUCCGCCCUUUGCUGGACGGUCGGGAUGUACUCAACAGUUAUGUCCCCUAGCUCAACCCGUUCGCGAAUAACAUGGUACCGGACACCGAUGUGUUUUGAUUUGCUGUGUAAGAGGGGAUUCUUGGAGAGGUUUAUCGCGGCUUGGUUGUCGACUAGUUACGAUGGUCCGACUUGUGGUAAGUAAAGCUCCUGAAGAAGACUGCGGAGCCAGAUUCCCAAGUUGCUUCAGAGACGGCUAUAUACUCGGCUGGAUGCCGUCGUUCGUUGACGUUUAGAACACUAACUUACACGAGAACCGCAAAAAUAUGUGACAUACCCGGAAGUCGACCUUGUUGUUUGCUCGCAGCCGGCCCAAUCUGCGUCGGAAUAGCAUGUGAGGGUUCUUCUAGGUUUGACCCCCCCUAGUAUAAUUCCCAAGCGUUGAAUAUGAGACAAAUAGGAGAGAACGCGGAGUGCAAGCUGCCAACGCCCUUCAGUGGGCGAGACAGUGUAUCGUGCAAGGAAAGAGGCGGCGAAUGCAAUAUCGGGGCGAGUGCAACCAGCAAGUGGGCGUAGAGAGCCGACGAGCUCUUGAUACGGCGUGAGAACUGCAGGAGUCUCAAAGUCGUCUUCCUCUAACUUACGAGAGGGCAGUAGCGCGUGCUUCGCGAUAGUGGCGCUGAAGCUCGGGUAACGCUUGAGCAAGGUGUUGAUAUAUGCAGUCUGUGACAGAACAAUGGUCUUGUUUGGACGAUUGCGCGUGAUUCGCGUGCCGAGGACAUAUGUUGCAGGACAGAGGGAGCUGAGGGUCCAUUUGCUAGAAAGUUGAUUGAGAAUGUUGUCGAUAGUGGAGAUGUUACGCGCUG
rnacentral:sRNA from 1 species